GCGGUUAUACAAGUAAUGCAAUUAAUUUAUAUUAGUUAAUAAUAAGUUAUUUAUUAAAUAAUUAAAUAUUAAUUUUUUUAGGUGAAAUUUAGAAAUUUUAUAGAAUUAUUUUAAAGUUUAUGAUUUAUGAAAUUUGGAAAUAGACUAGGAUUAGAUACCCUAUUAUUUUAAAUGUAAAUAAAUUACUAAGUUAGUUAUAGUUAUGAUCUUAAAAGUUAAAAAUUUUGGCGGUAUUUUAGUCUAUUUAGAGGAACCUGUUUAGUAAUUGAUAAUCCACAAUUUAUUAAACUUAUUUUAGUAGUUUGUAUAUCGUCGUUAAUGAAUAUUUUAUAAGAACUAAUAUUCAAUAAUUAUUAUUUCAAUAAAAGUCAGAUCAAGGUGCAGCUUAUAUAUAAGAUGAAAUGGGUUACAAUAAAAAUAUUUAUAGAUAAUAAAUUGAAAAUUUGUUUGAAAGUGGAUUUAAUAGUAAUAAAAUUGAAUUAAAUUUUAUGAUUAUAGCUCUAAAAUAUGUACAUAUUGCCCGUCACUCUCAUAUAAAAUGAGAUAAGUCGUAACAAAGUAGAUGUACUGGAAAGUGUA
rnacentral:rRNA from 1 species